rnacentral:misc_RNA from 1 species
GAUGAAGAACGCAGCGAAAUGCGAUAAGUAGUGUGAAUUGCAGAAUUCAGUGAAUCAUCGAAUCUUUGAACGCACAUUGCGCCCGCCAGUAUUCUGGCGGGCAUGCCUGUUCGAGCGUCAUUACAACCCUCAGGCCCCCGGGCCUGGCGUUGGGGAUCGGCGGAAGCCCCCUGCGGGCACAACGCCGUCCCCCAAAUACAGUGGCGGUCCCGCCGCAGCUUCCAUUGCGUAGUAGCUAACACCUCGCAACUGGAGAGCGGCGCGGCCACGCCGUAAAACACCCAACUUCUGAAUGUUGACCUCGAAUCAGGUAGGAAUACCCGCUGAACUUAAGCAUAUCAAUAAGCGGAGGA